rnacentral:rRNA from 1 species
AGUGAACGCUGGCGGUAGGCCUAACACAUGCAAGUCGAACGGCAGCACAGUAAGAGCUUGCUCUUACGGGUGGCGAGUGGCGGACGGGUGAGGAAUACAUCGGAAUCUACUUUUUCGUGGGGGAUAACGUAGGGAAACUUACGCUAAUACCGCAUACGACCUACGGGUGAAAGCAGGGGAUCUUCGGACCUUGCGCGAUUGAAUGAGCCGAUGUCGGAUUAGCUAGUUGGCGGGGUAACGGCCCACCAAGGCGACGAUCCGUAGCUGGUCUGAGAGGAUGAUCAGCCACACUGGAACUGAGACACGGUCCAGACUCCUACGGGAGGCAGCAGUGGGGAAUAUUGGACAAUGGGCGCAAGCCUGAUCCAGCAAUACCGCGUGGGUGAAGAAGGCCUUCGGGUUGUAAAGCCCUUUUGUUGGGAAAGAAAAGCAGCAGGUUAAUACCCAGCUGUUCUGACGGUACCCAAAGAAUAAGCACCGGCUAACUUCGUG